UACGUAGGGGGCAAGCGUUGUCCGGAUUUAUUGGGCGUAAAGAGCUCGUAGGCGGCUCAGUUAGUCGGGUGUGAAACCCCCGGGCUCAACCCGGGGACGCCACCCGAUACUGCUGUGGCUAGAGUCCGGUAGGGGAGCGUGGAAUUCCUGGUGUAGCGGUGAAAUGCGCAGAUAUCAGGAGGAACACCAGCGGCGAAGGCGGCGCUCUGGGCCGGAACUGACGCUGAGGAGCGAAAGCGUGGGGAGCGAACAGG
rnacentral:rRNA from 1 species